AAUUCUUAGUGUUGGAUCACUCAGCUCGUGCAUUGAAGAAGAACGCCACCAGCUGUGAGAAUUAAUGUGAAUUACAGGACGCACUGAUUAUCCCUUCCAGUGCACUUGCAGCUCCCUGUUUCUCUCAGGGCUAUGCCUAAGUGGUC
rnacentral:rRNA from 1 species